UUCUUAGCUUUACGCAGGCGAAAAUGUCAGUAAUACUGUAGCAAUUACAAAUAUUACACCACCUCUCCUCUAUAAUCCUCGUUCAAACUUGGGUUUUCCGUUAAACAAGCAAAGUCUCCAUUGGAGCCGAUAUUUCAAUUUUAUAGAUUUUAAAUUUUAGAACGAUAAUUUUAAGUUUUUAAAACUUGGUUCUAAAUUUAAUAUGUGUACAUAUUUAAUAAUUUCUUAAUAUAAAUAAAUUGUUUGAGCAAAAACUAUUGGAUUUACUGAACCUUUGUCUGGGCUUCUAUCUGUUAAGUAUAGAAUUUUAAUAAUAAUCAAUAAUAAAAAGAAACUGUGACUAAUGACAUCUAAUUUUGUGCAGAUUAGCAACGGCAUUGAUGAGUGAGAAGAAAGAAAAUCCUAUGAGGAAAUUAGAGGAAGCCAUCGGCUAUCUAUUUCGAACUUUGCAUCAAAUGGAAAGAGAAUCAAUCAAUCAAAGAACAAGGACAGAAAGUCAAUCAAUCAGACUCGCUAAAGAUCCUCAAGCGUGCAAGAAAGGAAAGAGAGCUAAUCAAGGAUAAAGAACAAAUCAAAGGACAAUCUGCGGAAGCUCUAAUCAAGAAUAAUUGGAGGACCAAUUCUUCAAGUUAAAAAUGAAUCUAGCCACACUUCUCAUCUAGAUUCAUGAGGUAACCCUUGGGUCUCACUCUAAAAUAUCUAUGCCUCACAAAGAAAGACCUCUAAUAAUUGCUUAUGUGAUCCCAGAAAAUAAAGAAUCAGAAGACUCAUCAAGCAUAUAAAAGAAGAAGUAGAAGGGCAAAAUAGAUUACCCAACUUCACAUCUGUUUCUAUACCUUUCUAGUUCUUAGUACAAAUAACGUAUUCUUGAGUCUACAAGUAUGGCAAAAGAUAGGAAGAGUUAGAAAACAAAACAAGAGUUAUGUCAACACUAGAAAGAAACAUUGUUGAUGUAUAACAUUGAUGGUGAACGUACCUCACUAUUGUAAAAGCUUACUGAGGAUCUAAGAGAACUCUUGUGACCCAAGGGAACUGGAUGUAGGUAACACACCGGUACUGAACCCGUAUAAAAAUUGUUGUGUCUCCUUUACUUUUCUAUUUGCACAAUUUGUUUUUGAUGUGAUUAAUUCCUGUGUGAAGUCUAGUCGACUAAUUUCUCUCAUAAUCAACUAAGUUUUGAAAUCGGCUACAAUUCACCCCUCCCUCCUUCUUGUACUUUCAACUGGUAUUAGAGCGAGGACUCACGAAUAUUUCUUAACAGCAAGUGAGGAAAGAUCAUGGCAUCAAACACAGUCAUUGCAGCACUAUUUCAAGAAAGAACUUCUCAGGUAUGACCUCCUUACUUCAAUAGCCAGCACUUCUCACAUUAGAAAAUGCGUAUGGAGACUUACACUAUGUCAUAUGACAUUAAGGUUUAAUGCGAGAUCAAAAAGGGAAAUCUUCCGAAUUCCACCAAAGAAUGAUAAAGACGGUGAAAUUAUAGUAUCAUCUGAUCCACUUGAUUUAGAUGAAUACACAAAAGAACAAGUAGUUGCUAUCCAAGUAAACGCCAAAGCAAAAAAUCUGAUGUACAAUGCCAUAAGCGGAGAAAAAUAUAAAAAGAUAUCUAGCUGUGAAACUACAAAGGAAAUGUGGGAUAAGUUAGAAGUCACAUAUGAAGGCAUAAAUAAGGUGCAAGAGACAAGGAUUAAUUUUCUAGUUCGAGAUUAUGAAUUAUUUUAAAUGAAGGAUGGAGAAUCAGUGGAGGAAAUGUUCUCUAGGUUCAGCAAAAUCCUUAGAGACUUAAAAUCCUUUGGUAGACAAAUCAGAAGUGGAGAAUAAGUCAGAAAAAUUCUGAGAAGCCUCUCCACAAUUUGGUAACCCAAAGUUAUUGCUCUAGAAUGUCAGGAUCUUGACAAAAUAUCCUAUGAUGAACUUAGAGGUGACUAAUUACGUUUGAGAAAAUACAUUUGGAUAGGCAAGUCCAGCAAGAGAAAAAGAAGACAGUUGCAUUCAAAGCAACAGUAGCUGGAUAAGAAAAUAAAGAAGGAGGAGGAGGAGAACAAGAUGAGAAUAUAGCUAUACUCUCUAAAGUUGUAGCAAGCAUGAUGAGGAAAAACAAAAAUAGCAGAAGAGGUAAAUCAAAUUUCAGAAAAGGGAAGAUGAAUAAUGAGAAUAACAAAAAUGACGGAAGAUGCUAUGAGUGUGGAAAACAUGGGCACAUUCUAGCUGAAUGCCUUUAGCUGAAAAAGAAACUAAGUAGAAAUUUCCAAAAGAAGAAAUCAUUUGGAGCUUGGAGUGAUGAAGAGUAAUCUGAUCAUGGGGAUAUUGCCAACAUGUGUUUCACGGUUAUCAAAGAAGAUAGUGAUGAAGACUCAUGUGAGCUUGGUCUCAUGGCAGACAAAGGAACAAGUAAGGUACGUCUUCCUACAUGUCCUAGUUGUCACGAACUUCAAGAAUUUAUUAAUAUUGCUCUUGCAAACAUUGAGAAAAUUCUAAAUGAACUUCGAAAAAUCCAAAUAGAAAAGAAAGACUAGGCUCUGAAAUUAGAAGUUUGUGAAAUUGAGAGAGAUAUGCUUCAAGAUGUAGUCAAUGAACUUUAACUUCAACUAAAUAUAUUGCAAAAAUCCACCAAUCAUAGCUAAGUCAGAUCAAAUCAGUCUGCUCCGCGUAAUUUUACACUUAGAACCAGAAAUCACUCUGCAUGCACUCAUUGUGGCAAAAAUGGUCACACCUCUAACCAUUGCAGGUUUAGAAUUAGAGGAGAAAAAGCUUCUGAAAAUUCCAAUAACCUCUCCAAUUUUUAUUGUGAAAAACCUGGUCAUACAUUUAACCAUUACAGGUUUAAGAACAACAGAAGAUGGGUCUGGCGACCUAAGUUCUCUAGUCAAGCUAAUAUUCAGAGCACUAACUAUAUAGGACACAAGAAGGCUUGGGUACCUAAAAACAAGUAAUUUGUUUUUGUAGGAUCACCGCAAGAAGAAUCGAAAAGGGAAAUAAUAUCUUGAUAGUGCGUGUUCUAGAUAUAUGACAGGUUACAAACAAAUUUUCAAAUAUGUCACCAAACUAAAUGGUGGAUCAGUCACCUUUGGAGACAAAUCAAAAGGAAAUAUAAUUGGAGUUGGAGGAGUCCCUCUCAGCUAAUCAUGUGAUGUAGAUGAAGUAUACCUGGUAGAUGAACUUGGCUACAACCUAUUCAAUAUCAGUCAACUAUGUGACAAUGACUAUGAGGUUCAUUUUAAAAAGUAUGGUUGGUUUAUUGAAGAUGAAUCAAAUAAAGUUAUUCUUUUUGGAAAUAGAGAUAAGAAUGUCUACACCCUUAGUAAUAUAGAUAGUCUUGGAAAUCAGAUUUGUCUAGCCUCUAUAAUUGAUGAUCCUUGGGUUUGGCAUAGAAAAUUUGGUCAUGCUAGCAUGCAUACUAUUCAUAAACUUUUCAAACAUGGUCUUUCAUUGGUCUUCCAAAUUAGAUUUUUCAAAAGAUCAAAUUUGUGAUGCAUGUCAAUUAAGAAAACAAAUCAGGUCCUCUUUUAAGGUUAAAAACAUAGUUUCUACUACAAAACCUCUUCAACUCUUACAUAUGGACCUCUUUGGUCCAACUAGAAAUGCUAGUAUAAGUGGUAGAAAAUAUGUCUUUGUUAUAGUAGAUGAAUUUUCUCGAUUUACCUGGGGUAUUUUUCUGAGUCAUAAAGAUGAAGCAUUAAGGAAUUUUGAAGUCUUCUGCAAGAAGGUACAACGGAAAAAAGGUUACUUCAUGUUUUCCAUAAGAAGUGACCAUGGAGGAGAAUUUGAAAGCAAAGCAUUUGAAAACAUCUUCAAUGUCAAGGGAUCUCCCACAAUUUUUCAUCUUCAAGAUCGCCUCAACAAAAUGGAGCAGUAGAACGCAAAAAUAGAACCUAGUAAGAUAUGGCAAGAACUAUGAUCGUGAAAAACUCCCUUUCAUACCACUUAUGGGUAGAAGUUGUAAGCACAACAUGUCACAUCAUCAACAGAUAUUUAAUUUGACCUAUUCUCAAAAAGACUCCAUAUGAACUAUGGAAAGGUACAAGAUCCAACAUAAGUUAUUUCCAUCAUUUUGGUUCCAAAUAUUUCAUUCUCAACAAUGGAAAAGACAAUCUUAGUAAGUUUUAUCCCAAAAAUGAUGAAGGUAUUUUUCUUGGAUACUAUCCCUCUAGUAGAGCAUAUAGAGUUUUUCAUUAACGUGUUCUUUCUAUUGAAGAAUCUACACAUUUAUUUUUGUAGACACUAACCUUCACUUAAGGAAUGAAAAAUUUUCUGAAGAUGAGGAAAUUUUCAUAGUUCCAAAGUCUAUCAAUACAGGUGAAAACACUUGUGAUGAGGUGACUGAUCAGCAAGAUCAGUCAACAAACAGUCGCGUAGAUAACAAGGAACUUCCUACAAUUGAACAGUCGAGUGCUAUUGAAAAUGAGCUAGUAUCAGUCGUCCAAAUGAAUGGAAAAGUGAUACUAGAUAUCUACAUAAGUACAUCAUUGGAAAUCCUCAGAAAGGCAUCGCUAAAGCAGACAUAAAAUAUUGCCCUCAUGUCUUAGUUCGAACCAAAAAAGGUGGAUGAGGCCCUUAGGGACGAAAGCCGGAUAACUGUAAUGAAGGAAGAGCUUGACCAAUUUGAGAAAAAUAAAGUAUGGGAGCUCAUUCCUAAACCUCCAAAUGCAUCCAUUGUUGGAAUAAAAUGGGUGUACAGAAAUAAAUUGAAUGAGUCUGGACAAGUGGUACGAAAUAAAGCUAGACUGGUUGCUCAAGGCUGUCACAUCUCCUUUUUCACACUCCCGGAAGGGUAUAAGGGAGUUUUUUCCAAUUUAAGUGACAAUCGAAACGAGAUUAUUUAUUUAAAAUUAGAGUCGCCACUUGAGAUAGUUUAUUAGUGUCUCAAGUCACUGAUUUAAAAUCCCGAAUCGAGGAAGUUUGACUCUAUUUACGGUCCGCGAACACAGAAAUCCGGGUAAGGAACUCUGUUAACCCGAGAGAAGGUGUUAGGCAUUCCCGAGUUCCGUGGUUCUAGCACGGUCGCUCAACUAUUAUUAUUGGCCUAAUUAUCUGAUUGAUUACAUAUUUUAAACCUACGUGCAUUUUUGACUUUAAAACCGCUUUUAUUUAUUUAAGGAAUUAUUUCAAAGUUAUUUAAACACACAUCGCAAACCACGUUAUAUGAAAUGUACCCGUGAUUCACGACACGUCCUAUUUAACCUUGUUGGAAAUUAGACCCGGGUCACAUGAAAUGUACACCCGGACUUUAGUAGUAGCCAUGGUAAUUAUAUAAUUAAUGCGCCUAAAGCAAACUACGAAAUUUAUUUUGUUAAUAUCUAAGUUAUAAGAUUAAUGAGGGCCAUAGGUUCUACGAUUGAAAUGUAUGAAUGACGCGCCUCAGAAAAACUAUUCAACUAAACGAAAUACGGAUAUUCAUGUUUAAACGGAUUUGAGCUUAAGUACCACAACCACCCCAUGGGGACUGUAUCCACAGUUGGGAUGAUUUAGUACAUACUUAAAACUAACUAGGAGCUCACGUUGGAACAGGGAUCCAAUGCACGACGCGGGAAUCUAUAAAUCAUGAAUUUACUUGGGAAAGAAUGACUUUCAACACCUUUCAGAGAUGCGAUAUUUCUGAAUUUUAACAAUAGCACAGUAUAAUCAAAACAAUGCCUUAAAGGACAAAAACGUAGUACGAAAUGGGUGUGAUAAUAUAGAUCCAUUUUAACGAGCCUAACUAAAAUACAUGGUCUAAUGAAUUAACAGAAUAGGAAUCAAAGGGGUUGGACAUGAAAUAAAGUCAUGACAAAUAAAGAAAUGGGCCAAAGACUUGGGGGUCAGAUGGCCACCAACGGAUAGGCUUCAAAGGCCCAAAUAACCCUUGGAGCUUGGGUCAUUCCUUAUAUGGGCCCUUUUAUCAUCUUUGACUCAACCACAACAUCAAAGCAUUAAUAUGCAUCUGGGAUCUCAACAACACAAAUGGCAUUUGCAAAUCACGUUCCAAAUUUUCAAUACAACUACACCUGAUAUUGAUUUAACAUGACCAUCUGCGGAUAAAAGUGUGGAGAUCCAACUUUCAAUUUUUCAUGGACUUGGACUUAGUCCACACGGGCCAAAACAUGGUUGAGAAUACACAGGUUGACCAAACAAACUAGCCCAACAUAAUUAAAUAUUUUCAACAAGUGUAGAUGCCAAAGCGUUUCAACUAAAGAACAUCUAACUAUUUACUAUCCAGAAUUGGUAAAUUCAGUUGAUAACCCAAACUUGCAUAUAACUAAAUUUAUCAUCUAAUAAUUGGAAUCACAACAUAAUAACUUGAAGAUUAAACAUUACACAAAAGAUUAUAAGUUAAACUCGAUUGAUGCAUCAACCUCAACACACAUACAUCUUCAAACUCAUUUUUGCAACCCAAGGAUUUAAAGAGGGUACCUGGAUUCAGAAAACGAAAGCAAAUGAAUUCAAAGUCAGCUACUGGCAGCUAACAAAUAACAGGUUCAGCAACAGUAAAAAAAAUCACACAACAGCUUCUUAGUCAAGUCAUGCUUCAGCUUCAAGAAACCAACAAACCCAGAAAGAAUAUUUCCAAAAGAAACUUUUGCCCAGAAAAAAGAUGAAAGCUCAGAAUUGAAUUCAGCAGAACUCCCUUAGCCAUUUUCUAUUUUUUGUGUCUUAUUCCCUGCCUAGAAAAUGAAGGAAGUGAGCCCUUUAUAGACAGAUUUUAGGGUAGCGGACUUAAGCUUAAACCUUUACUAUUACCCCUUCCCUAAUUUCUCCUUUUCCAUUCAGACCCUUAUCUUUUG
rnacentral:lncRNA from 1 species